GGUGGCUCAGUAGUAGAGCGCUUGCCUCGCAUGCUUGAGGCCCUGGGUUCGAUUCCUCAGCACCA
rnacentral:tRNA from 1 species